rnacentral:rRNA from 1 species
AACAAACGCUGGCGGCGUGCCUAAUACAUGCAAGUCGAACGAGAAAGUAGCUUCGGUUACGAGUACAGUGGCGCACGGGUGAGGAACGCGUAGAUAAUCUGCCCUCUGGCGGGGGAUAACACGGGGAAACUCGUGCUAAUACCGCAUAAGACCACAGUGUCCACGGACACAGUGGUUAAAGAUUUAUCACCAGAGGAUGAGUCUGCGUCCGAUUAGCUUGUUGGUGGGGUAAAGGCCUACCAAGGCUGCGAUCGGUAGCUGGUCUGAGAGGAUGAUCAGCCACACUGGAACUGAGACACGGUCCAGACUCCUACGGGAGGCAGCAGUAGGGAAUAUUGCACAAUGGAGGAAACUCUGAUGCAGCGACGCCGCGUGAGUGAUGAAGGCUCUUGGGUUGUAAAGCUCUGUUCUAUGGGAAUAAGUUCUGAAGGUACCAUAGAAGAAAGGACCGGCUAACUUCG